CCUCUCUCAGAACUAGGCCAGGAAUCAGCUGCCAUUGUAGUUGAAAGUUUAGCUGAUGCUGUGACACAUGCAGGAUUUUUUGGAACUGAAAGUUGCAGUGAUGUUAUUCUAAUGAAAAUUUUACAUGUCUGGAGAAUGUUGGUUCUUCACCCUGCUGGGAUUCCGCUCUCUAAUGAAGGUGUUUGAUCAUGCAAAGCUGUUUCCGAAUCUGCUUUAAAACAGUCUGUUCUUAUUACUCUUAUGUCGUAGUUGCUUCGAUCCGAUUCCACCGCAAAACGGCUGAGUAUAUAAAUAUU